AUGGUGGCCGCGGUGUGGUCACUGAUGAGGUUCCUCAUCACGGGCGGUGUGGCUGGAGGCGCGUCGACCUGAUGUAUGGCCAGGAGCUGCUGGGGCCCAGCAACAAGAGCCGAGCGCCCCUACGGAAGGCUGGAGAGGUGGUUCCCCGCCACGUACCAGUUCAGCCAGUACGUGUGUCAGCAGACAGGCCUGCAGAUACCCCAGCUCCCAGCCCCUCCAAAGCCUUCCUUUCCCCUCCAUGACUCCUGGAAUGCAGGUAUCAUCACAGCUCUGUAGGCCCCUCCCAGGCCCGCGACACUCCAAGGAGGGCUGGGAGUACGUGGAGUCGCGCAG
rnacentral:lncRNA from 1 species